ensembl:lncRNA
CGAGCAGAGGCCGAGGAGCUGCGGAGCGCGAGGGUCCGGCGGUAGCGGCCGGAUGGCGCCGGGAGUCCGAUGGCACGGGGAGGCGGAGCGGGUCGCGGUCUCGGGGACAAACGAGGGGGCGAGAGGAGCGCGGCCGCGCCGCUGCCUCCACCCGGGAGCCGGCGCUGGGGAGGCGGAACCGGGGAGCGGAAUCCCCGCAUCGCCUCCCGCGGACUCGGUGCCGGCCGAGCCGGGACGUCCCGAAGCGCUCCCGGGAGGGGCAGCCCCGGCACCGUCGCUCCGCGCUCGGGAACCGCCGGCCGUGCCCCGGGGCGACAGCCUCUGCCAAAGCCGUAGGGUCUGUGUGCGGAAAGUGCCACGUGUGAGUGUGUCGGUGAGUUCUGCCGUUUAUGAGUGCUAGCGUGAACGUACAUUUUAAUUAAUACCUAAUUUGCGGCAUUUAUUUUAAUAAUUUGAGUAUCUUGAAGUAUUUGCACUGUUUUGCCAAAAGCUUGCAGUAGGCGCUUCAUAGCAAACACAAUAAUUAUUUGUAACUAAUUUAGCAUUUUCUCUGUACUUUGCAACUGGAUUUGAACUCUUUCUUGAUGAACAAGACAAGAAAUUGCACUUACCCUAACAGCACAAAAUUUUACUUGUCCUUCUUUAAAAAUGGUGUGAAAAUGUACACAAGAGCUUUAAUUCACCUUGUUCACCAAAGCAGCGGGUAGGUAACGUCUCAAUUUAUAGCUAAAUGUAGCUUCAACAACACAAUUUCUCUGAAAAAAAAAAAAAAAAAAAAAAAAAAAAAAAAAGAAGAAGAAGAAGAAAGAAGUAUCUAAGAGAGAGGAGAGCUCUAACAGCAGCCUGUAAAAAUCCCCAGUCAUUCGGUGAACUGUAUCCAUUUUUACUUGUUAACUCAUACAUUCAAUGAGAUUCCUUGAAUAUGGACCUGGAGUGAACAAUUGCAUGGCCAUUAACCAUGCCAAACUGCUACAGAACAGACGUAAUUCCUUUUCUUCUAGGUUAUAUUUCCCUGUUGUAUUUCAGUUGCCUGAGUUUGAGCCAUGGUAUUUUGCCACACUGGGUGCUAUAUUCUAUGAAUGCAGCGAAUUGGCUGUCGCUUCAUUUUUUUGGUGCCAUAUAUAUAGGGAGCAGAGGUGCCUCAUUUUGCACGAACAGAACAUUACCCACAACCAGGAGUUGGUGUCCCAGCUGCAGUGCAGAGCAGUGCUCAGUGCCCACAAGCCGCUUCCACUUCUUUACCAACGUUUCUGAUUUUCUUCAAUACUGUGUGAAAUAAACAUAUGGGAACAACAGCAAAAGGUCAAAAUAUGAGAGCAGUGUGCAGCUACGUUUGGUGCACAUCGUGAUGGUGGCAUACAGAUUAAUAGUGGUUGUCAGUCCUUUUAAUACCUGUUUCACUUGGCUGUCAUUACAAUGAUUUCUAAACCAGUCAAGUCCAUGAAGGCGUAUUCUACCAGACAACAGUUUUGCACUUAUAAAGAGUCAAGAGAUAUCUGGACACGUGACCCCUCUCCUAGUAAUACGUUCAAAUAAAAAUUGUUAGUUGAAUAUAUGCUUUCCUGAAAGAAGUUUGAUUAUUACAGGGAGACAUACUGGCCUACAUGGUGGUUUGUCCUGAGCCAGAGCGCUCAGCCACAGGAGCGGCAGCUGUUCCCAGAAGGGAAGCAGGCAGUGUGCCGGGGUGGGUGGGUGCCUCACAGUGCUACUUGAGGAUGAGCUGCCAUGGAUCCAACAGUUCUGUUUGAACUAUGUUUGAAAUACAUAGCCAAAAGUUGAAGAUAGUGAAUGCUGUUAUUGCAGUUAAAAGUAACUUAAAAAAAAAAAAAAUAGCUCAAGGCAUUGAUGGCUCACGUAACCGAUUUGGGAGGCAAACUGCUACCUCUAAAAAGGACAAACACCCUCAACAAAACAAAAGAGGUUUCUCACUUUUAUGAGGAGGCAAAGGCAGGGUAGGAUUAACUAUGUCCAUGUAGCAUCACUUUACUAAGGACGAAAAUAUUUCCUCAUAUUGAAAGGUAUUGCCGCUACCCUUGAUUCAGAUCAAGGUCUAAAUCCUGCAAUUGCUUGUUACUCUAAGCACAUGAGGAGGCCCCACAGGAACUAUUCACAUGUGAAAAGAGCUAGGACCAGAGCCAAAGUUUUGCAUACUGUGAAGGUCAAGCUUGCUUCCUUUGUAAGACUUGUACUUCAGAGAAAAACUCUCAGAAAUAUGGUUUCCAUACAGAAACUUCAGCUGAUUCUUCUUCUUCAGUUGUUGGGGAGGAUGCUGUAUGUGCGGUGGCUGAUUUACAGCGUUUUGUGUAAUUCUGGCCCCUGUGACUACGGUGCUGGCUGGCUCCAGGCACUGCCUUGCAGCUCUGGGAGCUGUCCCUGCCUUUCCCGGAUUGCUGUUUCUAUGUUUUCUCUUCACACUGACUUUUUGUAAACUUCUCAGAACAAAAGGAGAAAAGCCUCAUAGAUAUUAUACAACUGUUGGCUUUAGAGCUGUUAUAGAAUAACCUCGUAAUAAAAAUGCACUGGCCAUGCAAUGAAUUCUCAGCAUUUUUCCAAAGGUCAUACAAAAUAUAUUGCUUGAGCGGCCGUACUUUGGCCACUCAGAUAAGUCAUGGGGAGACCACAGCAGAUGACAGUCUCCAGGAAAUACUGUAAUUCACUUUUAUGUCUCUAUGAAGGAAAAUAAGAGACAAAGCCUUCCCCUGACUACUGGGGAGGGGGUAUAUGUGGAGACUGGCAUAGAGAACAAAAGGGAGCUACUUUUGCAAGUGUGACAGAUAAGGUUGGAGGUCUUUCUGCUGAAGGCCUUGCGUAGCUUUGCUUUGUUUCUUUUUGUUUCUCUUCAGAGCAACAGAAGAACGCAGAAAACAAAUUGUAGCUGCACUUUACUACAUCUUUUAACAGGAUUUUGCCUCAAUCCCAAGUUAUUUUCUGAGCACAUAUUUGAAAAUUAGUUUCCAUUUUCUCCAUUUUCCAUCAUCCUCAUUUACUGGAAAUGUAAAAUAAAUCUCACUUGGGAUCCCUGAGCAUGAGAACCGCUUUUACUUCUGCUUUUUGAUAUUACAUAUUCCCUAGUUUUACCUUUUGUAGGGGCAAUCCUUACCUGGGUUGCACAAUACUUCGUAAAUGACAGUUGAUACUCUAUCUGGACUUAACAUUGAAUACAGUUGUUCUUUUAGAGUUCCCUCCUUUGCAGUGAACUAUAAUUUAUAAUAGCCGAGCAACUUUUCUAAAAUAUUCGUAGAAAAACUAUUUUUGCUAAGAAACUUACAAAUCACUUUUUUUUUUCCCCACUCAGAUUCAUAAAUGCCUAAAAUGCAAGCUAGUUGAAAACCUAACUUCAGAGGAGCUGGAGCAGAACAGCUAUGAAACAUUCUGCUGCAAUCGUGUCUUUACACCACUGAAAAUAUUGCUAUCCAGUAUCAAAUGAAUACAGUAUAAAUUAGAAAUAUCAGACAUAUACAGCUACAGCCACAAAUCUAGAUGAACGACUGCCAAAUGGCAACAGUUUCAGCUGAGUUUUGCAUGCAGUUGAAGAACAAUAUUUGUCAUGAAGAUUUCAUCUAAGUCUUCCUUGAAGCAGAAUGAAUUCCAGACUCGAGACCUCAUCUAAAUCAAACUGGAAUCUGUAUUAAGCUCAGAGUACAUUUUCAUUGUGUUUAUGUUCUACUUAUUUUUUUUUUUUAUUUUUAUUUUGCUGGCUGAAAUUAGCAUGUAUGGAACACCAAGUGUAGGGGACUGAGCUGUAUUCUUCUCUCCAGGAUAGUAAUUUUCCUAACGAAGUCUAUGACAUCAAGCUGCGUGGUGCAGUCAACACUCCUGAGAGAUGGGAUGCUAUCCAGGGAAACCUAGAGAAGCUUGAAUAGUGAGCCCAAGAGAGCCUUAUGAGGUUCAACAAAUCCAAGUUCAAGGUCUUCUACUUGGGUCUUGGCAACCCCCCACUAUCAAUACAAGCUGGGGAAUUAAAGGAUAGAGGACAGCCCAGCCCAGCCUUGUGAAAAGGACUUGGGACACUGGCCGAUGGUAAGCUGAACAUGAGCCAGCAAUGUGCGCUCACAGCCCAGAAAGCCAACCAUAUCCUGGGCUGCAUCAACAGCAGUGCGGUCAGCAGGGAAAGAGAGGUGACCCUGCCCUCUACUCUGCUCUGAUGUGACCUCACCUGGAGUGCUGUGUCCAGAUGAGGAGUCCUCUGUACAGGAGAGAUGUGGACCUGUUGGAGAACAACCAGAGGAGAGACACAAAAAUAAUCUAAGGUAUAGAACACCUCCCCUAUGAGGACUAGGAGAGCUGGGGCUGUUCAGCCUGGAGAAUAGAAGGCUCCGGGGAGACCUGAUAGUGGCCAUUCAGUAUAUAAAGGGAGCUAUAAGAAAGAAGGGGACAGAUUAUUUAACAGAGUCUGUUGUGACAGGACAAGGGGAAAUGGUUUCAAACUAAAAGAGGGGAGAUUUAAAUUGAAUAUAAGGAAAAAGUUUUUACAAUAGGAUUUGUGAAGCACUGGAACAGGUUGCCCAGAGAGGUUGUGAGUGUCCUGUUCUUGGAGACAUUCACGGUCAGGUUGGAUGGUGUUCUGAGCAACUUGAUAUAGCUGUAGAUCAGCCUGUUAUUUGCAGAGGAACUGGACUUGAUGACUUCUAAGGGUCUCUUCCAACUAAAAUGAUUCUAUGACUCUAUAAUUGGUAGCUACCAAUAUAGCCUGAAGAUCUUAAGUUAGCACUCAUCCAGUGAAAUUAGAGUGUGCUCCUUUUUGGAGUCUAAUAAUAAAUGCAGUUUAAAGUAACAAACAACUUUGUACUUGUGGUACUUCAUAACACUGAAGCACAGCUUGUUUCCAAAAGAUAGCUACUUACAUUAGCUACUUGUUUGAAAAGAAUAUGAGACAAAAAAUGUACUGGUGACAAUUUUCUUAAGUGUCGUAGGUAUACAGUUUAAAAAUAUGUGUAAUUAGCUGUACCCCAAUGGCAUUUAUGGCUGUGAUGCUUUUUUACAGACAUAAUCAUGGUAAUAAAAGCCCUAGGAGUUGAUCUGGUGCAAAAAGGAUUCAUCUGAACUCCUGAAUUUAAACUAUUUUUAAACUCAUGUUAAUCAAAGAUUUCUAUGCUUUCUUAUUUUAGCUGUAUCAGUAUACACUGCCAGACUCAAGCAACUUAUUUUAGCCUAAGCAUUUAAAUUUCAUAAAAUUUCUCUAAAAAUUAACUGGAAAAUAAAAACAGGUCUACAGAGUGCUAAGAUAGUGGUGUUCAGAGUAGUGCAAGUGGUGUUAAGAGCUGUUGGACAAAAAAAUAGAUAUCAAGACACUUCUCAGCUCCUGUAUUUGUGUUCAGUGGAUUAGAUCAGAGUUUUAAAUUUUAAUCCCAUAUAUGACAUGAGGCCAAUUCCUAGAGAGAAACCUUUUGCUUUUACUUUGGAUUAAAUGUUGCUGAGUUUUUCUCAUAUUCGUAGCUGUGUUAUUUGGAACUGUUUCACAGAAUCAUAGAAACAUAGAGUCGCUCAGGCUGGAAAAGACCAACUGCAACCUAACUGUACUACCCUAACUGAAAUGGGAAGGGAUCUCUGCAUCCAACUGGUCCAACUCCUGUUCCAGAAGGGCACUUAGAGCAUGCUGCCCAGGACCAUGUCUAGGUAGUGUUUGAAGGUCUCCAAGGUGGAGUCCCCACAACCUCUCUCUUUGCCCUCUCCCUUCAACUAUUUGUACACAGUGAUAAGAGCCUCUUCUCCAGGCUGAACAGUCUCAGCCUAAAGCGUAUGGAAUAUGACCAUAAUUUGAGAAGAGUAAUCUAACUGCCUAAAAAUGCAUAAGAUAAGCUCUGAUUCCAGCCCAACAAUGGAUCUUUGGUAUAACUUAGAAAAAAAAUGCAAUUUCUUCAGUUUUGAAUUUUAUAAUUAAGAAUAAAAAAUGAAAAUAGUCCAUAUUUACCAUUAUUUUCAUUUACCACCUUCACUGUUAAUGACUUUAUAUAUACAGCUCAACAGGAAAACCUCUAGCUACUCUAGGCAGCUGGGGUUUGUAAUUAUUACUCUAAUUAUUCAGAAUGCCUGUAUUUGAGUUUAGCUUCUGCCAUCAUGAUCAAUACUUUUGACUUGAUGGCCUUGUGAAAUUCUGAUAUUUGCAUUCUUUAUAUUUUUAGAGAAGACAGCAAUCAGAAAGAAAUCACUGUCAUGUUUUUGAUGGUUUUGUUUGUAUACAUUGAAGAAAUGUAAAGUCAGGACAAGGCAAACUAGGAGAAAGCUGCUCUUUCUUCAUAACAUUACCACUGAGUGACUUUAAUUGCUUUAACUAUAUAAAGAGAGAACUCAGACUUACAAGUUAUUGAAGCUUAACAAACAUAACUCAUCAGCUGACCUUAAGUAACUGACCAAGUCAUUCCCCUCUGCCCAUGGCAAAGGCCUGGUAAAAUAUGUUAGCUUAUCUUUAUAACACACUCCCAUGCUGCAGUUAGAAUGGCUUAGACCACACAGGUAGUAGUUGCCAUGGAUAAGCUUAUACUAUUCUUUAAAGCAUUGCUGUUACAGUCACUGGUGUGCCUGAGCCCCUGCUUAUAGCAAUAUAUUUCUGCUUGUAAAAUUCCCUCCACAGACAAGACCAGCUUUUGCUUUUAUCAUUAUUUCAAUCACUUUAGUGUAGAUCCAAUUACACAGGUAUAAGAGUGUUUCUACUGGCAUACCCUGGCAUCAGUACAACAGCAGUUAAACACAUAACUCUAGAAUCAGGAUAGAUGUGUGAAUAACAACAUCUGAUCAACAGCCAUGCUGACAAAAUUUAAACGAGAUCAAGCUUAAAUCUUAUCCACCUCUGACAAUGGCAAUGCAUGUUAUGUGCCAGGCUUACUGGGCAUGAGAGGACAGUAUGACCAGAAGCUGAUUCAGGAAAACUUCCCUCAUGCAUGUUUAAUGCAAGUCAGAGAUAUUCAUCCCUAGCUGUGCUGUAGACAGUGGUGUCCUAACCCAAAACCACAUGCAUGGCAGCAAUAAAUGCCAAAUUUAUGACUACCACCAGAGCAUAUACAUAUACAUUAUGGCAUUGUCUAUCUAUAACUAUAUACUGUUGUGUAUUACAUUUCCCAAUGAGCUCUGCAUUCUUUUGUUAUGUGAAACAGAGAAAUAGACUGUAGAUCACGUUAGAUACGGAUUUUCUGCUUACCAAAGCCAUGGGUCAAUACACUAGAAGGCAAAGGUGAAGUACUACUGUAGUCUUUUUCCACUUUCGCUUCUAUACAUUUCCUUGCAAUGUGUUGUAAAUGAAGAGCAGAGGCCAUGAUCUGUAUUAGACCUGAACUAAAACUGUCUCACUUUGGUCUAUGAAAAAAAAAAUCUCAGCUUGUAAUCUGUACUGCCAUGUAAUUCAGGUCAUAUUCUAUCCAUAGUUAAACAAAAUGCUUUACCUGAACUGAAAAUAAAGUAUGCAUUGCUGCUGAUAUAUCUGCCAAAUUUAAAACAUGAUAUUAACUAAAGUCGACAGCAUAAGCCACUCAAACAAGCCCUGAGGGAGUCCAAAAUGCUCCUUAAUAUUUAUUUUUCAUAUUUGAUUGCAGGUUAUGCACAGGUAAGUGUAGUACUACCCUGAGGGUUUUAAGUGUAACGUAGUCAACCAUGAUAAUACCUUCAGUAUCUCAGAAGACAGUUCUCACAAUGACUAAUAUGAAAUGAAAGCGAAGCUGAGUGUUUUUCAGACUAGUGUUAAGUUUCC